UUUUCUAUCCUCUUCUUUCCUUCUCUCCUACUAUUUUUCUCCAUCUUUCUAGCAGCCUUUGCACCCCUUAAAUUGUGUGCAGCUCCUGCAACUCACAGGCACAAAGUAGUGUUUAUUUCAGCCAGCAUGAAAGUAAGUGUUAUUUUCCCGGGAAAGGUCAAGGUUUCUUUCCGGAGAGGGCCGACUGGGUAUUUGAGGCAAGACCCAUCAGUCGAGGCUAAGAGGAUUAAAGACCACCCUGACCUCCAGGACAAGUCAGCGGCCCAGAAUGAAGACCGGGUGAAAGACAAUGCCAGGUCUGUCGUAUUCAUGAGAGGGGGCGAUAUAUCAGACAAGCAGGAGGUGCUUGGGGAGUAUGUCCUGCAGUUUGGGAAAUACAAGGGAAAGUUAUUCCGGUGGCUUGCAGAGAAUGAUGUAGGGUACGUAAUAUACCUCAUCAAGAAAGUCAGGGAGGAGGAGAGAGCAGGCCAGUUUAAGCCAGAUGGUCCCAAGAAGAACAGCUUGUUGUCACUCCUGCAGUACAGCUACAGCUUCCAGGAGAUCAAGGACCUGCUGCUGUAUCUGGACAGUCAGGUAGUAACACUACCUGACUGUCCCCAAAACCAACCUAGUUGGUUUUGGGGUUCACACGAAGAGGACGUGGAGGGAUGUUUGGAAGCGGAGAGACAAUGGAUUUUAAGCGUUUAUGCUGCGACAGCAGUGUACGCCAGGCAGCAAAAUGUUUAGGCUCCAGGACUACCUGAACAGGCAGAGUGCUUCUGAGGGACGUGCUUCCCACUGGGCAUGCAACAUCGGCCUCUCAUUGCCCAGCUUUCACAGAAAUGGAGGAUGAUGAUGAGUUGGAGAGGAUGAUGCUCUCUAUAUCCCCAUCCAAACUCCAAGCGGAGGAAGGAGUUGAGGAAUGGGAGAGAAAGAUGCCAGCCACACCUAUUCCAGGCCAUCUUGGUUCCCAAGUUGUCGAAGUCCCUGUGGUCAAAGGUUUUAUUCUUACUACAGUACUACUGAUUGUCCGGACAUGAAUUCGGAUAAUCUGUUCUACGUUUAUUUGUUGGUUAAGCCACGUUCUGGCCUGUUUGUUACGCCAUGUUCCGGCCUCUUUUAAUGCCUGUGUUCAAUUGUUCCAUUAACAUUGAAGGCAUUAAUAUCUCGUCAUUGAGGUACCUCCGGAGUUGCUUGCCUUGGGGUUGCCUUCAAGCAAGAACACAACAUCAGCGCCAAACACCGUGUUGUGUCAAUCUUUACUCCCUGUGAGGUCAGUGUGUUCCACACCUGCUCGUUCCACAGCACCUGCUGUUGCCACAGCAUCCUCUGCCCUGUCUAGAGUACCUGCUCUGUCUACGGCAUCCAGGUCCUCUUCCGCCCUUCCUGCAGCACCUGCUCUGUCGGCGUCGUCAAGGUCGUCUACAGCACCCUCAACAUCAUAUCCACCUCCUGCAGCACCCUCGGCACCAUGUUCACCUGAUCCACCACUCCCAAGGAUGACCUCUUUGGUGUGGCUUCCCUUGGCUCACAUGCAGUGGCCCAACCCUCACAGCCAUUCAAAGUUCAAGUUCUCCCAGUCCCAGUGACGCCACCGAUGCCCAUGUCUGCCUCUCUACGUGCUGCACGCACAGUUCUAUUCCCAGUCCCAGUCCCAGUCCCAGUGACGCCACCGAUGCCCAUGUCUGCCUCUCCACGUGCUGCACGCACAGGUCCAGUCAAGGCAGGCGGCCUACUUUUUGUCCUGGACCAAUCCCGGUGGACACAGCCAAUGAGGGAUGCCAUCGAUGGCCUUCUGGCAAAGCACCAUGGCCAGAAAGACCUCCUCACCAAGGUGGAUGCAGAGUAUGCUGCCCUUGUGCUUGCUGCCUCCAGAGAUCCGAACAACUUGUUACAUCCGACCACCAAACAGCACAUCUCACGGUAUGUGAAACACCAGGCCAAGCUGAUGAACAGAAGUUUGUGUCUGAAUACCAGUCCAGAGAAACUCCUUGAGACACAAGAGCUGUGGCAUCAUCUCACAGAGGGUAGUGAAACUGUUUGCGUCCCGGUGGUAACCCUCCCACCUGCACCUGUGAAUCCGCCCAGCAGUAAGUCGCAAGAGCCCUCUCUCACAAAGGCUGAAAUUGAAAACCUGGUCAAAGAGCUUGUGCAAAAGCAGCAGCAGCAGCAGCAGCAGCAGCAGCAGCAACAACAACAGCAGCCUGUGCCAAAAAAAAUUAGGAACUGUCUUGCAUGUGGCCAGCCUAAGUCCCGUUACCUUGGCGAUGGCUCCUCCAUUCACUUCUUUUACCAGGCAGGAAAGGUUAAGUACUUUUACUGCUCUACAAAGAUGCAUCGGACCUAUGUAGCAGAAGGCCUUACUGAUCCCCGCAUGGAAUUUCUUGACUUUGCUGCCACACCUUUUUUCAAGAGAGAGCUGGAGGCAGCAAAGCAGCGGUCUGCUGAGUCCAGGCAGGUAACAGAAGAGCGGGGAAAGAGAAAGGCCAUGGAGCAGCUUCCCACUGGUCGCCUGUGUAGGUUCUGCCACAAACCUAUAAAACAAGGCCCAGGCGGUCGGCAUACACACACUGGGUUCCCUGGUGUGACCGGGAAAUAUGUGUACUGUCCUUCAAAAGUUUUUCACCUGUAUCAGUCAGAGGGGAUGACUUCGGAGAUGUCUUGGGAGGAGUUCUGUCAGUCUCCCUUUUAUGAGACUGAAAAGAAGAGGUGGGUGGCAGAAAAGGGAAGGUGAUCGGCCCGUUUGGAACACUUUUAGUUAUUCAAUUUGGUUAAUCUUUUAUUUAUUUUUUUAUUUGGUUCUGGGUAUUUUCUGAUCAGAUGCUGGAA
ensembl:lncRNA